GACUCCUACGGGAGGCAGCAGUGGGGAAUUUUGGACAAUGGACGCAAGUCUGAUCCAGCCAUUCCGCGUGCAGGAUGAAGGCCCUCGGGUUGUAAACUGCUUUUGUACGGAACGAAAAGGUCUCUCUUAAUACGGGGGGCUCAUGACGGUACCGUAAGAAUAAGCAGCGGCUAACUACGUG
rnacentral:rRNA from 1 species